CCUACGGGAGGCAGCAGUGAGGAAUAUUGGUCAAUGGACGAGAGUCUGAACCAGCCAAGUAGCGUGAAGGAUGACUGCCCUAUGGGUUGUAAACUUCUUUUAUAAAGGAAUAAAAUGAGCCACGUGUGCCUUUUUGUAUGUACUUUAUGAAUAAGGAUCGGCUAACUCCGUGCCAGCAGCCGCGGUAAUACGGAGGAUCCGAGCGUUAUCCGGAUUUAUUGGGUUUAAAGGGAGCGUAGAUGGAUUGUUAAGUCAGUUGUGAAAGUUUGCGGCUCAACCGUAAAAUUGCAAUUGAUACUGGCAGUCUUGAGUACAGUAGAGGUGGGCGGGAUUCGUGGUGUAGCGGUGAAAUGCUUAGAUAUCACGAAGAACCCCGAUUGCGAAGGCAGCUUACUAAACUGUGACUGACAUUGAUGCUCGAAAGUGUGGGUAUCAAACAGGAUUAGAUACCCCUGUAGUC
rnacentral:rRNA from 1 species